rnacentral:lncRNA from 1 species
GGAAACAUUUUUCAUCUCAUGUACCAUAUUGUCUGGCCACCUUAACAAUAUUUAUAAAACCAAAUAUUCACAAUAAUUAAAUACAUGCAUAACUAAAAAUUUCAAAAGUGUUUUAGAAAUUAAAAGAAAUAGUACAUAUAAUGUGUUUAUGUCAGUGCUAAAUUAUUAAUAUUAUUACUUAUCAAUUAUCAACAAAAGAGGUUAAGGUGAUAUGGCAGUUAUGAUCAUCAGGGUGAAAAUUCUCAGAUUUUUCAGUACAAGUUCUCCUGGGCUUGGAUUUUUCUCUUUGUCUUUUCAUUCUCUGUCUCUUUUUCUCUCCCUGCUCUGUCUCUCUCUCCAACACACACAUGCUGUCUCUCUCUCUCUCUCUCUGUUUGCAUAAAUGUAAGCAUUGGUCACACUGAACAGGUUUCUAAAGUGAUGGUAAGCUAAUAAUAAGUACACGGUCCUACGUGAUCUUAAAAAUCAGGUAUGUCUUUCCUAAUGUCUCACUAAGAGCUCCUGUACCAGGCAAAAUGAUGGUCUUCAGAAAGAAGGCAUCUGUAUAAGAACAUCCAGCCUGCUUUUACAUUCUGGGCUCAGGAAUCAGUAAGAAAGGAGGCAGUAUGGGAGCAGCAUAUUGUCUAUAACGUCUCUAAAAUUUCCUUGCCAUUUGUGUUUAAUGAAACCUAGUGGGUUUCUAGUAGAUGCUUCCAACAGUCUCUUGGAAUAUGGAUUAUACUGAACUAUCUUGGUCUGAUAAUUUAAUAUAUUAUAAUGGAGGGGCAUUUCAAAAGAGCAAUAGGAUGCUUCAAUUUUAAGGUCCUGUUUCUAACCUCACUUUUUAUUCAUAGGUUACUCUCUCUGGUUAAAUCACUUAAUAUUGCUAGACUUUGUUUUUCUCACCUGUAGUUUAACAAUGUUGAAGGCUAGAUAAACAGGUAUUGUCCAUGUCCAACCAUCUAUGAUUAUAUGAUUAUUUUAAUAACUUCUGAAAUCUCUCUCUCUGUCUUUCUCUCUAUAUAUAUAUGUGUGUGUGUGUGUGUGUGUGCGUGUGUGUAUCUGUAUCUAUCUGUCUAUCUAUCUAUCUAAAGAUAGGCAGGGACCCUAAAACUCACACAUUAUGCUUUUCCAAUGGAUUUUGCCAUGAAAGCUUUGUUUUACAUGAUGACAUGAUAUUAAAAUUUCUCAAAGGGUAAAGCUUUGAGUUCAACCUUCUAUUUUAAAUCUAAGACUACAUACACAUAUACUAUAGAAAAUACAUUUCUGCAGUAGCUGAACUUCCAAGUCUAAAAUCAAUGAGGCAAAGCUGCUUUAUUGAGUUAUUCCAAUAAUACCUAUCUGCUUUUAAAGGGGCCUUUGUCUAAUGAUAGUAAGAAUUGUAGAGCCAAGAAGAAUAAUAUACUUCAUCAGAUCUAAACCAUUAUUUCACAAAUGAGAACAUUUUUAUCUCAUUAUCCUUAUGCCAGCUUGGAUUUGGUUUAACCUGAGAUCAUCUCACUGUAUUGCUGUCACUAUUAUUACAGGAUGUAGGGAACAAGCAUAUAUUGACCACAUACUAUGUUAAACACUGUGAUAGACAAUUGCACACCAUUACCUUUGUACUUCCCAGUUUCAAAGCAAGGUAGAUAUUAAUAUCACCUUUUACAGAGAAAGGAAUCAAAGCCUACAUUUUACAUAAGUUAGACAAGCAAUGUUAGUGGCAGAAUCAGGAUUUGAAACCAUCUUUGUUUAUUUGAACUCCAAACCCAAGGCUCUUUCCACAAUGCUAGUUCAUACCCUAGGACCUAUACAUUGGCAUAAAAAAGUCUAAAACCUCCUGGAAUUGUUUGUAUAGUUUUGUAUGUAGACACACACACACACACACAUACACACACACACACACACACACACAUACAUAUAUAUAUAUAUAUAUAUGUGUAUAUAUAUAUAUUAUUUCCUCUUUGGAGAAAGUUUUAGCUUUGAUUAAAUUUUCAAAGGGAGACAUGAUCCUCAAAAUAUUGAAGACCCCCAAAAGUCUAUUCGUAUCAUUAUUUAAAAUCUGCCUUACUGCAAAAUUAAUUUGGGAAAAUUUGCUACAUGCAUCAGUUAGCCCAGGCUGGAUGGCAUCCACCACGUCUCAGUGGGUAAAAAUGCCAAAGGUUCAUUUCACACCCAGACUCCAUGACCAUGUGAGGUAGUUAGGGUGGUAGCUUCUGGGUGGCCCACAUUCAAUGAGCUGGGAUGAUGAAGUCUCCUCUAUCUGGAAAGUCCUGUGACAUGUCAAAGACAGGGAAAAUGGAGAAUCAUCCAGGCACGGUGGCUCACGCCUGAAAUCCCAGCACUUUGGGAGGCCAAGGCAGGUGGAUUACAAGGUCAGGAGAUCGUGUCCAUCCUGGCUAACACACUGAAACCCCGUCUCUACUAAAAAUACAAAGAAAUUAGCCGGGCGUGGUGGCAGACACCUGUAGUCCCAGUUACUUGGGAGGCUGAGGCAGGAGAAUGGUGUGAACCCAGGAAGCGGAGCUUGCAGUGAGCCGAGAUCGCGCCACUGCACUCCAGCCUGGGCGACAGAGUGAGACUCCAUCAAAAAAAAAAAAAAAAAACCAAGAAAAUGGAGAAUCAGAAUCAGUGACUGGCUCCUACGUGUACCCAUAAUAUCUGUUCAUGUUUAGUUAGCCAAAGUUAGCAACAUGACCAUCUAAAGACAAAGGGUGAGAAGCAUCAUCUUUUGGGAUGCCCAAAGCAGAAGAGCAAACAUUUUUCAUAAAAGGCUAAGAGGUAGAAAUUUUCAGCUUUGUGGGCCAUUCUGUCACAACUGCUCAGUCCUAUUUUUGUAGAGUGAAAACAGCUAUAGAAAAUAAGCAAAUGGGCAUGGCUGUGUAUCAUUUGGUCCUGAGGGCUGAAGUUUAUGAAUUCCUCACCUAUAUGAUCAACAUGCAUUGGUUGCUUAGCAACAGCAAAGCUUUUUUGUGAGUUAAGGUCAAAGACAAAUUUGUCCAUUGGCUACUCAAACUAGAACUUUAGUGAUGAAGUGAAUAUUUUCAACAAAAUUCCUAUAACCUAUGUAUAAUUGUAUUCUAAAAAGUUGUAUGACUAUUUCUAAAUGAAAGCUAAGGCAUAUUAUAAUUCUACAAGGUGAAAAACAUGCUUAAAUUUAAACUUGUCUCAUAGCCUGAUUUUAUCUAUGAAAAAUAUUUGAAAUAAAUAAAAGAUUUAUAGAUUAUCCUUAAAGUAAUCAAUCAUAGAUCAAUAUUAUUUUUCAUCACUUUAUUUUUGAUUUUUUUUAUAAGUAGCUGAUACCUGGUAAGAAUAUCACAUUCUGAAUACGGAUAUUCCAUGUAUCACAGUAACAUAGACUUAAAAAAUUGAGAUUUCCUGAAAAAAGUGAGCCAACCUGCCUUGAAGAAAAUCAAAGAAACAAACCAAGAUUCUUUUCUUAUCUUUAUCGCCCACUGCAGAUGGGAGAACAGGAGCUGAAAGUGACCGAAGUGACUCAAAUAUUAGUUGGAAAGUGUUGCGACUAGAACCUAAGUCUUCUUCCUCCCAGCUCGACAUGUAUCACCAGCUUAAAAUCUCUCUGAGAAAACACAGCUUUGCACUCACAUGCACACAAGCUCAUGUGCAUACCCAGAGCACUGAGGUCAGAGAAGUGAUUCUGAAUCCUGAAGUCUACUCAAAUGCACAGUGGCACAGCCUUGACUUAGCUUAAACAUCUGAAGAGCAAUUAAUGGACACUGUCCACUUUGUGGCUACCCAGGAGGUUAGAAGAACCUUCCAUUUAUUAUCCCUUAUUCUUGAGUUUUUGUGAGAGUAUAUAUAAAUGUUAAACGAAGACUAUUGUGGAAAAGAGACAAAGUGCUCCAAUGUUGCACACAGAAAUGUAUGAUCACAUUUUUCUCUGUCCCAACAAUGGUUUAAUUACUUUCCGAGUACAAAAUGUAAUCAGACACACAAAGCAAACUUUAAAAAGUGUCUUUGCCAAACACCAUUGUGUAGGAACAAGGUGAAAGCCAUCUUCCUCCUUCUCUUCCUUGUUUCCUUCUUUCCUCCCUUUAUUUUAGAAAAAUAGGAUGUGGAGAUUUAAAUUAUUUCUAAGCCCUCCAUAGUAUCACCUCCACUUACUUUUUACAGUUAUUGCCCAUUGCUCCUCCUUGUGAAGCUUUCUAUCUUACAAUUCUGAACCAUUUCUUAUUCCUUUGUUUUGUUGCUUAAGUCUCCUUAUCA